rnacentral:rRNA from 1 species
UACGAAGGAUGCAAGCGUUAUCCGGAUUUAUUGGGUUUAAAGGGUGCGUAGGCGGACUUAUAAGUCAGUGGUGAAAUCUCGUUGCUUAACAACGAACGUGCCAUUGAUACUGUAGGUCUUGAGUACAGAUGCCGUUGGCGGAAUGUGUCAUGUAGCGGUGAAAUGCAUAGAUAUGACACAGAACACCGAUUGCGUAGGCAGCUGACGAAACUGUAACUGACGCUGAGGCACGAAAGCGUGGGGAUCAAACAGG